GGGGCUGAAGUAGGUCCCAAGGGUAUGGCUGUUCGCCAUUUAAAGUGGUACGCGAGCUGGGUUUAGAACGUCGUGAGACAGUUCGGUCCCUAUCUGCCGUGGGCGCUGGAGAAUUGAGGGGGGCUGCUCCUAGUACGAGAGGACCGGAGUGGACGCAUCACUGGUGUUCGGGUUGUCAUGCCAAUGGCACUGCCCGGUAGCUAAAUGCGGAAGAGAUAAGUGCUGAAAGCAUCUAAGCACGAAACUUGCCCCGAGAUGAGUUCUCCCUGAGACUUUAAGUCUCCUGAAGGAACGUUGAAGACGACGACGUUGAUAGGCCGGGUGUGUAAGCGCAGCGAUGCGUUGAGCUAACCGGUACUAAUGAACCGUGAGGCUUAACCUUAC
rnacentral:rRNA from 1 species